rnacentral:sRNA from 1 species
AAUCUGCUGCGGGCAGAUGAAGUGAAUAUGAACAUCCAAACCUCCAGCUGUAAUUAUUUUCCCCUCACCAGCAAUCACCUCCGUGCCAGGCCCAAUAAUUAUAUCAACUCCAGACAUAAUGUCAGGAUUUCCAGCUUUGCCAAUGGCUGUUAUGUUACCAUUCUUCAAUCCGAUGUCGGCUUUUAUGAUUCCCGACCAAUCCAGAAUUAAAGCAUUGGUGAUUACCGUAUCGACUGCCCCGUCUUGCCGAGAUACCUGGCUCUGUCCCAUGCCAUCUCU